AAAAUUGUCAAUUGACCCCUUAAGGAGUUAUUGCCCUUUAUAGUUAAUUUUUAGCAUUUUUCAUAAAUUUUUGUACUGUAAUUACUGGGCCAAGUUCAUUAUAGAUAGAAAUAAUUGUAGCAAAAAGAAUGUUCAGUAAAGUAAGAUCUACAAACACAUCACCAUCACCAAAACACAAUUAUGUCAUGAAUUUAUCUGUGUCCAUUGUUUAAUAUGCACAUAGACCAAGGUGAGCGACACAGGCUCUUUAGAGCCUCUAGUUUGAUUAUUAGUUUUUAUUUAAAAAACGUAAGAACUUAAUUAUGCCAAUUAAAAAGAUCACCAG
rnacentral:lncRNA from 1 species